rnacentral:tRNA from 1 species
AGGGAUGUAGCGCAGUUUGGUAGCACCUUUGCUUUGGGUAAAAAAUGUCACGGGUUCAAAUCCUGUCAUCCCUA